rnacentral:rRNA from 2 species
GACUCCGCGGAGGAUCGCUCGGCUCCUGCGGUGAUGAAGGACGCAGCUAGCUGCGGGGAUUAAUGUGCACCGCAGGACACACCGAUCAGGGAAACGGCAGACGCACUUGCGGCCCCGGGCUCCUCUCGCGGCUACGGCCUGGCCUGAGCGUCG